rnacentral:rRNA from 1 species
CCUACGGGUGGCAGCAGUGGGGAAUAUUGCACAAUGGGCGCAAGCCUGAUGCAGCCAUGCCGCGUGUGUGAAGAAGGCCUUCGGGUUGUAAAGCACUUUCAGCGGGGAGGAAGGCGGUGAGGUUAAUAACCUCAUCGAUUGACGUUACCCGCAGAAGAAGCACCGGCUAACUCCGUGCCAGCAGCCGCGGUAAUACGGAGGGUGCAAGCGUUAAUCGGUAUUACUGGGCGUAAAGCGCACGCAGGCGGUCUGUCAAGUCGGAUGUUAAAUCCCCGGGCUCAACCUGGGAACUGCAUUCGAAACUGGCAGGCUAUAGUCUUGUAGAGGGGGGUAGAAUUCCAGGUGUAGCGGUGAAAUGCGUAGAGAUCUGGAGGAAUACCGGUGGCGAAGGCGGCCCCCUGGACAAAGACUGACGCUCAGGUGCGAAAGCGUGGGGAGCAAACAGGAUUAGAUACCCUUGUAGUC